AAGAAACCAUCCUGGAUUUGUAAGAAUAUUCCCUGCCUCUCACCUCAUGCCUUCUUCUUCUUCUUUUUUUUCUUUUUCUUGAGAUGGAGUCUCACUUUGUCACCCAGGCUGGAGUGCAGUGGCGAUCAAUCUUGGCUCACUGUAGCCUCCACCUCCCAGGCUCAAGCAAUCAUCCCACCUCAGCCUCCUGAGUAGCUGGGACCACAGGCGCGCACCACCACACCUGGCUAAUGUUUUGCACUUUUGGUAGAGACAGUAUUUCCUCAUGUUGCCCAGACUGGUCUGGAACUCCUGGCCUAUAGUGAUCUGCCUUCCUUGGCUUCCCAAAGUGCUGGGAUUACAGGCAUGAGUCACCAUGUCCGGCCACACUUCUUGUCUUCUGUUUAAUGCUGAAUGUUAUAGCAAAGGCUAAGAAAAUGUAUUUCAUGGCCCUUGGUUCAAAAUUUCAGGAAGCUCAGAUCCUAAGAUAGCAGAGAGGAAGGAGACCUGAAACAUUUUCAAAAGUCAAAUAACUAUCAUACUCAGUCUAUUCAAAUGAGUAAUCAAAUUUCCCUAUCAAAACAAGGCUAAGGGUUUUUUUCCUCCCUGUACGGAAAUAGGUUUUCAAAGGUAACAGAAAAGUUUGCAGAGUUAUGUUUAAGUGUUUGUGUCUGCAAUCACAGUUUUUCUUUUUUGUUUUUGGAGACAGGGUCUCACUCUGUUGACCAGGGUGAGGAGUGUAGUGGCAUGAUCAUAGUUCACUGCAACCUCUGCCUCCCUCCCAGACUCAAGCAAUCCUCUGGCCUCAGCCUCACCAAGUAGCUAGGACUACAGAUUCAUGACUUCAAUUGAGAGAUGAGUUUCAAGCCACCUUUCAAGGAAUCCUGGGUAGAAUGAAAUCUGUUCCAUGGAAUCUUAAGAAGAAGAAGAAAAAAAAUCAAGAUCCCUGUGGGCAAAGUCAUUUGCUGUCAUGCUUGGAAGGAGUAGAACCAAGUGUUUAUGAGCAUGGACUUUGGAGUCAGGAUACUCUCCUGAUAUACCACGAUGCAGAAUGUCAAGUAGGAAAAGAAGCUGUUGCAUUGGGCAAUUAAGAAGUCAUUGGUGAGAGAAGUUUCAGUCUGAAGUGGAAUCAUAGUAAAUUACAGAAAAAUAGUCUUUGGAGAGAGAAGGAAUCUGGUUAAUCCACAGGCCACACAAUCAUGGUUGAAAAUUAGUGAAUGAGCGAAUGAUGGAUCCAUCUCUUGAAGCAAUACUUGAAUCGCAGAAUUCUUAUAUUGAUAGAAGCAGAAGGAAACCAGAAGUGCUCCAAUUAAAGGCCUCCAUUUUUCAGAUCAGCAGACUAUGAGCCAUGCAUAGGAUCACACACAGUCCCUUUCAGGAAGCUACUCCGUGAAACCCCCAUGGCUGUGAGAAGUCUUUGACUGGAGGACUCUCACAUCAUAUGCUACCUUUGCCAGUCCCGCCCACACCUGCGAAUCAGCUGCCAGCACUGCACCUGUGAUUUCUAAAUUGCCAUCUCCUGAUCUCUACGUAACCUCCGGUUGCACAUUUCCAGUUCCUUACCGGAUCUACCCCACAAAGGUCCAUAUGUUCCUCAACGUCUCCAAGACUUCAUCUAAUUGUCCUGCCUGCCACCCCCAUCUCUCCUUUAGCACUUCUAUUUCUUAUUUCCUAAGUCAAUUGAUAGGAUUGCAAGAAAGUUUGGGGUUAUCUUGGAAUACUUCCCGACUCACAACUCCUGCGCAGAUGGGGGAUGCAUUACAGCCCUGUGUCUGCUCCGGACGGGAGCUGAGCUCAUCUGCUAGACUUCAUGGACUUGAACCUGGACUGCUUUGGAGUUCAUUCAUGUUCUACCCACACUUGGAUAACAGCUCAGAAUAAGCACAGAAGCUUUCCAUUUUUUUGUUUUGAAUAAAUAUGGGAAAGUAUAAAGGGUAAUGGGAAAUAAAAUAAAAAUAUGGGAAAGUAUAAAGGAUAAUGUAACAAAAACCCAUAUUCCUAGAAAUGGUAACACCUAGAAAUAUUAACUUUUCAAAUUUUGUCCUAUUUGCUUGUGGUAUUUUAAUUUGAGAAAGUAUAAAGGAUGAUGUAACAAAAACCUAUAUUCCUAGAAAUGUUAACACCUAGAAAUAUUAACUUUUCAAAUUUUGUCAUAUGUGCUUGAAGUAUUUUUUUAAGGCAAUAAAGCAUUAGAGUUAAAACUAAAAUCCUCUUUAGCCUCCAACCCUAGUGUUCCCAGUCCGCACCCCAAGGGCCACUAUCAUCAUAGGAUGGUGUAUAGCUAUGCGGUCCGUUCAUUUCUUUUAUUUCUUUCUACUGAUAUGAAAUUUAUUUAUUGCAUUUCUAGUCUAUUAGUGUUAAUAAAGUUUUAAUGUGUAUACUUAUAUAUUUUUUCAAAACUUAAAAUUCACCAAUGUCUAUAUUCUCUGUAACAUGGCAAUAUAGUUACAUUCUGUGCUAUUUUCAAACACUCUCCUUAUCUGAACACCAUGUUAACACCUACGUCUCAGUUCAAGCUUAUUUUAAUCACAACAUUUUUUCUCUUUCUUUUCUUCUUUUCUUUUUUGUCUUCCUCUUUCUGUUACUGCUUUAGGAUUUAUUAAUUAUGAUAGGAUUGCAAGGACAUUUGGGGUUAUCUUGGAAUACUUCCCGACUCACAACUCUGUUGGAAGAAAUACUAGAAUCCUGUUUCUGCCGCAUUUGUGUCUUGAUCCUUGAAACUUAUGCCCUCUGUUCCUCAAGGACCUAAAACAGAAACACCACUCGACCCAGCAAUCCCAUUACUGGGUAUAUACCAAAAGGAGUAGAAAUUGUUCUAUCAUAAAGACACAUGCACACAUAUGUUCAUUGCAGCACUAUUUACAACAGCAAAGACAUGGAAUCGACCUAAAUGCCCAUCAGUGGUAGACUGGAUAAAGAAAAUGUUGUACAUAUACAACAUGGAAUACUACGCAGCCAGGAAAAAUGACAAGAUUAUGCCCUUUGCAGGAACAUGGGUGGAGCUGGAGGCAUUAUCCUUAGCAAACUAACAGAGGAAUAGAAAACUAAAUACUGCAUGUUCUCACUUACAAAUGCAAGCAAAAUGAUGAGAACACAUGGACACAAAGAGGGAAACAACACACACUGGGGUUUUUUCAGAGGGUGAAGUGUAGGAGGGAGAGGAUGGGGAAAAAUAAUAACUAAUGAGUACAAGGCUUAAUACCUGGGUGAUGAAAUAAUCUGUACGACAAACCCCCGUGACACAAGCUUACCUAUAUAACAGACCUGCACAUGUACGCCUGA
rnacentral:lncRNA from 1 species